AGUGCUUCUUUAACCAGGUUCUAAUCAGCCUUCAAGAUUAACUGCAAAAAAAAAACACCUCAAGGUCUGGGAUCACUACUUCAAUACUUUUAGUAAUGUCCUGGUUCGAGGGAUAAAGAUAAGAUAGAUAUCAAAUGAACUGACACUUAAUACUAAUUUGU